UACGGAGGGUGCAAGCGUUAUUCGGAAUUACUGGGCGUAAAGGGUGCGUAGGUGGUUGUAUAAGUUAUCCGUGAAAUCCCUGGGCUUAACCUAGGCAGGUCAGAUAAGACUGUAUGACUCGAGUAUAGGAGAGGGUAGUGGAAUUUCCGGUGUAGCGGUGAAAUGCGUAGAGAUCGGAAGGAACACCAGUGGCGAAGGCGGCUACCUGGCCUAAUACUGACACCGAGGCACGAAAGCGUGGGGAGCAAACAGG
rnacentral:rRNA from 1 species